AUGCUUUAUCAGAUAGAGGAGACCUACCUGAAGAAGAAGGCACUGAGAGCCACCAGACAGCAAAAGGCUAAAGAGAAGAAAGCCCUGAAAAAGCUGUCCCUUAGGAGUCCCACCACACCACCCCAGGGCCAACUGAAUGAAGUAACCGACCCUCAACCCAGUCAUCCAAUAAGUUACAGUCGGAGGCGGAGGAGGAUUGAUCAGGCGCUUCAAAACACAAGGAGUAAACACAUACACACAAACACACACACCAAAGGCUCCGUCACUCGAGUGCUGGGUGAAGAUUGAUCGCUCGCACGCACACAACAGGGGUCCCGCGGGGAGGUGGGGGGGUGUUUUCAGCCAUCCAACCUUAUUGACAGCUGUGGAAAUCUCUAUGCACACACACACACACACACACACACACACACACACAAUGCUGAUUCAUGUAAGUCCUUGAGCUUUGCAACAUACAGUACCAGUUAAGUCCUUGAGCUUUGCAACAUACAGUACCAGCAAUCUCCGUUAGCCAGGACCCAAUUAUAGACAGUCCCAAACUAUAGUGCUUAGCCCUGAGUUUCUGACGCUCCCGUCCAGUGUCUUUAGGCAAUUAGGAGGCUUUGCUCGAGUCUGCACGGUACCGGUCAGCAAUUAGUGCGUAUUCAUUUCAAUACAUUAAUGGCGUUCAUCGAGUGAGGUGAGAAGGGAGGACAUUUGCAUCGCACACUAUCGGCAAGUUGUAGAGAUUAAUUACCAUCACAUGUUUUCUAAAUAGUAAACAGUUAUUGUAAUCCAGUGUUGCAUGUAAAAUAAGUAGAACUCACUGCACAGCAGCAUCACUAUAAAGAGAAUACGUGAUGCUGUUUUCGGUGGUGUUUAGAUUGUGUAAUGAUGUUCCUGAACGCUGUGGAUUUUGAUAAAACACGCUAAACGUGUGCUGAUCCAGUUUUCGCUCAUGUAAGCAGCUCGGGUGUUACAUCAUUAUAUACUACAGUUGUGAUUGAAGUAUUUCCGUCCACAGCUUGAGAGGAAAGAUUUUAAAUUAAAAAGGAGAUGAGAGAGUUUUGCUCACAUCUAUUUACCCUAAAAAAAAUAACCGGCGCUCUGUGGUUCACAUGAUAAGCUAUUAAGUUUCUAUAACUAGCAUGCUGUUUCUGCAGGAAAAACAUAGAUGUGGGUCUCAUUAACACACACAAACACACACAGGUGCUAAGAAAACAGUUUUCUAGGUUUUUUGUUUCUCAUUUACAUUAGUCGUAUUAAAGUAACAUUUAGUAAACAUCCUUAUGUGCAUAAUUUGGUCUUAAUUUAAUAAAAUCAAAAAGCAGCAAAUGAUAAAAUGAUAACGUUCUUAUAAUGUUGGCAACUGAUAAGGCU
rnacentral:lncRNA from 1 species